GCGAGUAUGGCGUAAUGGUAGCGCGUGGCCUUCCCAAGGCUGAGGCUGGAGUUCGAUUCUCCAUACUCGCA
rnacentral:tRNA from 1 species